rnacentral:ncRNA from 1 species
UAUAUGGAGAGUUUGAUCCUGGCUCAGGACGAACGCUGGCGGCGUGCCUAAUACAUGCAAGUCGAGCGGACAGAUGGGAGCUUGCUCCCUGAAGUCAGCGGCGGACGGGUGAGUAACACGUGGGCAACCUGCCUGUAAGACUGGGAUAACUCCGGGAAACCGGGGCUAAUACCGGAUAAUUCUUUUCCUCACAUGAGGGAAAGCUGAAAGAUGGUUUUGGCUAUCACUU